rnacentral:rRNA from 1 species
UGGGGAAUAUUGCACAAUGGGCGCAAGCCUGAUGCAGCCAUGCCGCGUGUGUGAAGAAGGCCUUCGGGUUGUAAAGCACUUUCAGCGAGGAGGAAGGCGUUAAGGUUAAUAACCUUAGCGAUUGACGUUACUCGCAGAAGAAGCACCGGCUAACUCCGUGCCAGCAGCCGCGGUAAUACGGAGGGUGCAAGCGUUAAUCGGAAUUACUGGGCGUAAAGCGCACGCAGGCGGUUUGUUAAGUCAGAUGUGAAAUCCCCGAGCUUAACUUGGGAACUGCAUUUGAAACUGGCAAGCUAGAGUCUUGUAGAGGGGGGUAGAAUUCCAGGUGUAGCGGUGAAAUGCGUAGAGAUCUGGAGGAAUACCGGUGGCGAAGGCGGCCCCCCUGGACAAAGACUGACGCUCAGGUGCGAAAGCGUGGGGCAGCAAACAGGAUUAGAUACCCUGGUAGUCCAGCGCUGUAAACGGAUGUCGAC